UACGGGGGGGGCUAGCAUUAUUCGGUAUGAUUAGGCGUAAAGGGUCAGUAGGCGGCAGUUUUCGUUGUAGGCAAAAAACAUGGGCUCAACCUAUGCAAAACCCUACAAAACAUUUCUGCUAGAGUCUGGGAGGGGAUAGUGGAAUUUCUGGUGUAGGGGUGAAAUCCUAUAAUAUCAGAAGGAAGGCCAGGGGCGAAGGCGACUAUCUGGACCAAGACUGACGCUGAGGGACGAAAGCAUGGGGAUCAAAUGGG
rnacentral:rRNA from 1 species